rnacentral:rRNA from 1 species
AAUCCCGUGAACCAUCGAGUCUUUGAACGCAAGUUGCGCCCGAAGCCGUCAGGCUGAGGGCACGUCUGCCUGGGCGUCACG